UACAGAGGUCUCAAGCGUUGUUCGGAUUCAUUGGGCGUAAAGGGCUCGUAGGCGGCCAACUAAGUCAGACGUGAAAUCCCUCGGCUUAACCGGGGAACUGCGUCUGAUACUGGAUGGCUUGAGAUUGGGAGAGGGAUGCGGAAUUCCAGGUGUAGCGGUGAAAUGCGUAGAUAUCUGGAGGAACACCGGUGGCGAAGGCGGCAUCCUGGACCAACACUGACGCUGAGUGAGCGAAAGCCAGGGGAGCAAACGGG
rnacentral:rRNA from 1 species